rnacentral:rRNA from 1 species
UACGGAGGGUGCAAGCGUUAUCCGGAUUCACUGGGUUUAAAGGGUGCGUAGGUGGGUCUGUAAGUCAGUGGUGAAAUCCCCGGGCUCAACCCGGGAACUGCGUCUGAUACUGGAAGGCUUGAAUCCGGGAGAGGGAUGUGGAAUUCCAGGUGUAGCGGUGAAAUGCGUAGAUAUCUGGAGGAACACCGGUGGCGAAGGCGGCAUCCUGGACCGGUAUUGACGCUGAGGCGCGAAAGCGUGGGGAGCAAACAGG